rnacentral:rRNA from 1 species
CCCGAAAGAUCGAAUGGGGAGAUUCAUCGUUAGCGGAGUCGGCUUCCUUUUGGUUGCGCGAUGUUUGAGACGGUACUGUUAAACGUAUUUAGUCGAUUUCACGCGUCCAUUGUGGUAUGUCCGGCUACGUCGGCGUGCACUUCUCCCCUGGUAGAACGUCGCGACCCGCUGGGUGUCGGUUUAAGGGCCGAGGUCGUCGACUGUGAUUCGUGCGUUUCACGACGCCACGGUCACAGACGCUCGGUUUCCCGACCGGCUGCCCGGCGGUAUGCUGUCAAGGUAUCGAGCCGCACAAUUUCGAAUGCGUUCAGACACGUCACAAGCUCGACCUAAUUCCGGAUGUGCGGACCUAGCGCCGUACCCGGGGCUGGUUGGCUGUUGGUUGGCGAUGUUCUCGAACCGGCUUAUCCCAAUGUUGUUUCGACAACGAUACCGGUCGGCGACGCUAUUGCUUUGGGUACUUUCAGGACCCGUCUUGAAACACGGACCAAGGAGUCUAACAUGUGCGCGAGUCAUUGGGAAAUUGAAACCUAAAGGCGCAUUGAAAGAGAAGAUCGGCCUUGCGUCGAUCGAGGGAGGAUGAGCGGCGUUUAGAUGUCGCUCCGCACUCCCGGGGCGUCUCGUUGUCAUUGCGACUUGAGGCGCACCCAGAGCGUACACGUUGGGACCCGAAAGAUGGUGAACUAUGCCUGGUCAGGACGAAGUCAGGGGAAACCCUGAUGGAGGUCCGUAGCGAUUCUGACGUGCAAAUCGAUCGUCGGAACUGG